UACGGAGGGUGCGAGCGUUGUCCGGAUUUAUUGGGUUUAAAGGGUGCGUAGGUGGCUUUAUAAGUCAGUGGUGAAAUACAGCCGCUCAACGGUUGAGGUGCCAUUGAUACUGUAGAGCUUGAAAUAAUUGGAGGCUGCCGGAAUGGAUGGUGUAGCGGUGAAAUGCAUAGAUAUCAUCCAGAACACCGAUUGCGAAGGCAGGUGGCUACGAUUUAUUUGACACUGAUGCACGAAAGCAUGGGGAGCAAACAGG
rnacentral:rRNA from 1 species